rnacentral:tRNA from 1 species
GGGUUGGCUUGUAGAGCCAAUAGAAGUACAGAGGGGACUUAAAAUCUCCUGUCCGCAAGGACGUGAGGGUUCGACUCCCUCUCGCCCCAC